AUUGAACGCUGGCGGCAUGCCUUACACAUGCAAGUCGAACGGUAACGGGCCUUCGGGUGCCGACGAGUGGCGAACGGGUGAGUAAUACAUCGGAACGUGCCCGAUCGUGGGGGAUAACGAGGCGAAAGCUUUGCUAAUACCGCAUACGAUCUACGGAUGAAAGCAGGGGACCGCAAGGCCUUGCGCGGACGGAGCGGCCGAUGGCAGAUUAGGUAGUUGGUGGGAUAAAAGCUUACCAAGCCGACGAUCUGUAGCUGGUCUGAGAGGAUGAUCAGCCACACGGGGAGGUGGAACGGGCCCCGCUUCCCAGGGGAGGCAGCGGUGGGGAAUUUGGAGAAAGGGGCGCAAUCCGUACCCACCAAGGCGGCGGGCGGGAUGAAGGCCUUUGGGUGUAAAACUGCUUUUGUACGGAACGAAAAGCCUUUUUUUAAAACGGGAGGGUCAGGGGGGUACCGAAAGAAUAACCCCCGGUAAACUGCGG
rnacentral:rRNA from 1 species